UUCGUCCAGGCGACAUCGAGUCGUCCUCCACCGUUGUGCAGCCAUGCUCUCCCCACGCCGUCUGGCCGUGCUCGCCCCCGUUCAAUCAACCACGCAUGGUCUCUGCUGACAGUUGCUCUCCUACACCGCCGCCUCUCCUUGCCGCCAGUGAGUCGAUCCCCCUCCCUCCCUGAUCCCCAUGCUCGGCCGCCCCGGAUCCAGAUCCACAACCCUAGCGCUCUAGAACCUGGAUCUCACAGCAUACUCUUUUUUUGUAUGUGAUGCAUCUUCUUGGAGGGAUGGAGAACAGGGGGAUUGAGACCGUGGAGGAAAGGCUAUAGGUGCCGGCGCCACCCAACAGGAGCCGGUGAUGGCCGGUCGGCUCGGACGACAGCGUCGGCAUCUACAUGACCUUGAUGAAGUCCGACCCCAGCUCCACCUCUGCACUGGCCAUGACACCGUGACGCCCCAACUGCCUAGGUGAUGCUGCAUAUUUCCUCUUGUAUUUGUGGCUUUUUGUUUGAUACACGAACAGUAUAAGGGUCUCAGAUUUAGUACAAUGUUACGCUUGUGUGCGAACCUUUUCUGCUGUUGCUGCAAAUUGUUGUGUGCAUCGGCUUGACCGUGAGUUAGUUAUUUAGCCAAAUGAGGUGUUCAACUGGUCAGUUGUAUUCGGAUGAUUGUCUAGCUCUUUAGGAACUAAUUACAAGCAGUACAAACACAUGGGAGGUUCAUUCAAAGUUUUUAGCUACAUACUAGCUGUGGAUUGUUUGAGAGCUCCCUCGCACUAUAAUUUUAGGAUUUUAUAGCCAUUUGCAGUUGCUUCUUUUAUUUAGAGCUCAGGGAGUGAAAGGUUGUGAAGUUCACAUGACCUCUGUUUCUUCAUAGAUAAGGAGACUCCGACAUCAAUCAUCGUCACACCAUCCCCUUAUUCAUCUCUUUGUAAUACCAAACCCUAGGUGGAUUCCUACAUGUAUUACUUUAAUCAUUCAUCCAUCAUUACCAUGAGUAUCGCUUUGAUGCUUGUUGUCUCUAUACCCAAGCAAAACCCCUAUUUCUCAGGGAUAUGGAGGAAACCUAGUAUGUUUAGGUGUUGAACGCCGAUAGGAUUCGAUAUCCUUUGUAUGUUUAUGGUAAUAAUCUUUCUGAUGUUGGGUGAAGUUAACCACUCAACAUUUGAUCCUUGGGACAUAAUGUUUAUUACUAUUGGUGUGAUGCUGGGUUUGUGGAGGUAUUGCGGUGACAGAAGUUAUGUCCCUUCUUCCCUAGCCACUUGAUGGGGGAUUACUUAAGACCGCCUUUAGCUACCUCCAUAGGGAUACCCUUAACCACUGUUGUCAUAACCUGCAUGUGUGGAGGAAUGGUGGUGCCGUAUGUGAUAUGUAGAUGCGACAUGUAUGCGCACAUAACUGUACUUGGAUAUACCCACUUAUAGAAACAUACAUAGUGGCUUAGUUAUCUGAACCUAGAACUGCGCUUUUGCAUAAGUUUUGUUAGACACAUACUAGUGGGGAAUCUAGACUCCUUGAGAAAGCCUUACCCUAUUGAUUUCAUCACCACCAUUUACUCUAUGUUGUUCUUUUAUAUAAUCUCACACUUUACUUUCAAUAACAAAUCAUUUGCAAGAUAUUCAACUUUCUCUUUCGCUUUGCUUUGUGCUGUAACUUACUUACAUGCACAUUUCUAUAAAUCCUUACAAGAGUGAUAGACCACCAGUCUUCCUGGUGGGAUCGAUAUUCUUAGUUCAAAAAAAUCUACAACCAAACUAUGUGCCACUUGCAGAUCAUCUGGUGCUGUUGCCGGGGAGCUAAGCGCUUUUAGUCUUUGUUUUAAGUUUUGGUUCAUUUUGUGUACUAAGUUAUUUUGCAGGUUCAACGCAACCAUGGCCGAGUUCGGUCAACUAAAGAAAUCUUCACUUCCUUGGGCCGGAUACCUAAUGGUGAAACUUACGAGAUCAACAUACCAACUUGUGCAGCUAUUUGGUGAGAUAUGCGAGACAUUUAAACUAAAUGCCUUCACCUAUGAUGAGAUGAAAUUAAAAUCAUUUGGGAAGACACUAACUGCCAAGGCAAAGGCAUGCUUAUUUUCUCAUCCGUAAGUACCUUCGACAUGUGAGAAAAAUCAUGUAACGUAUUCUUGGGGCAUUUUUAUACAGAGAAGAAAUCUUAUGUAGCAGGCGUAUGAUCAUCAAUUUUAAUUAGAAACCAGGUAAGAGGCUUGUAAAGGCAUAUAUGAGGUAUUGUUCUUUCCUUAGUUAUUUCCCUCGUCAUAAAUUACCAUCCCGGUUGGUGCCAAAUUUCUUUUAUGAAGGGCUUAAUGAUUACAUGUGUAUAAAAAAAACCAGCCGGCCUCGGUGGUCAGCAAUCUCUCAUAUUAAAGACAUGUGUAUAAAAUUUUCUAUGUUGUUGCUAAAUUUCUUUUAUGUGAAAUGUUUAUGAAAAGUAGACAUAAAAACUAUAAGUUAAAAAAAUGUUAAUCAUGUAUUUGAAAAUGUUAAACGUUUAUAUAAAAAUGUUCUUGGUGUAUACACAAAAUAUACAAUGUGUAUAGGAUAAAGUAGACAUAAAAAGGAUAAGUUUUUAAAAAUGUUAAUCAUGUAUUUGGAUAAUUUUAAAUGUGCAAAUAUAAAGUCUUCUUGAUGUAUAUGAAAAAUGUUGAAUGUGUAUUCAAAACAAGAUGACAUGUGUUGAACAAAAAAGAAACCAAUGAAAAUUGACAAAGAAACAAAGGAAAACAAAGAAAACCAAUAAGACACAAAAGGGAAAGAAAAAAGACAAAGCUGAAGAAAACCAAUGCAAAAGAAUUGAAAGAGUGAAACCUGAGAAGGAAACAAUAAAAACGAGAUAAAAACAUGGAACAUCAAAGAAAUACAUGCCAAAAAUCCAAUGAAAUCCGAGAAAGAAGCAAAGAAGAACGAAGAAAAAAGGGAGAAACCAGUAAAAACCAUGAAAGAAGCGAAGAAAAGCAGUGAAAACCCAAAGAAAACUGAAAGCCAAAGAAAACCAAUGUAGAAACAAAAAAUCAAAAGAAAACAAUAAAAAGAAAGACAAAAAAACCGUACAAAUGGACAAGACCCAUAUAUCAAUCGAAGAAAGAGCGAGCGACCUAAGCUAAUGGGCCGGCCCUAUACGCGCGUGCUUCAAACAAGACAAAUACUAUACUCGCUAUAAGGCAGAUAUAGCAUUCGUAGACAUCCAAG
rnacentral:lncRNA from 1 species